GAUGAACGCUGGCGGCGUGCCUAAUACAUGCAAGUCGAGCGAACAGACGAGGAGCUUGCUCCUCUGACGUUAGCGGCGGACGGGUGAGUAACACGUGGAUAACCUACCUAUAAGACUGGGACAACUUCGGGAAACCGGGGCUAAUACCGGAUAAUAUAUUGAACCGCAUGGUUCAAUAGUGAAAGACGGUUUUGCUGUCACUUAUAGAUGGAUCCGCGCCGCAUUAGCUAGUUGGUAAGGUAACGGCUUACCAAGGCAACGAUGCGUAGCCGACCUGAGAGGGUGAUCGGCCACACUGGAACUGAGACACGGUCCAGACUCCUACGGGAGGCAGCAGUAGGGAAUCUUCCGCAAUGGGCGAAAGCCUGACGGAGCAACGCCGCGUGAGUGGUGAAGGUCUUCGGAUCGUAAAACUCUGUUAUUAGGGAAGAACAAAUGUGUAAGUAACUAUGCACGUCUUGACGGUACCUAAUCAGAAAGCCACGGCUAACUACGUG
rnacentral:rRNA from 1 species